UUUGGAAUUCGAAUGCAAUUGCAUUAAAUUUUGCGUCUUUGAUUUGGGUAUUUGUAGAAUUUUGAGAAGACCCAUUGGAUUAUAGAAGCUUGAAGUAAUGGAGGAUGUUCGGGAGCAGGCUGAGCAGGAAAGUCAACUACUCGGUCAAGAUGGUGAAAAUGAAACAGUAACUGAAGAUGGUACCUUCGUUCGUGGGGAACCUUCACAAGAUUAAUGGCCCCCCAAAAGUUGAUUCUAAGGUGGAAAUCCUUCACGAGAAAGUCACAAAUCAAAUCAUUAAGGAAGGUCAUGGUCAAAUACCAUCCAAGUAUUCAACAUGCUUCUAGAACAAAGAAAUGACUAGCUUGGCUGUUGGGGUGUCCAGCAUGAAAUCUGGAGAGCAUGCCCUAUUACAUGUAGGCUGGGAGUUGGGGUAUGGGAAAGAAAGGAGCUUUUCUUUUCCGAAUGUUCCACCAUUGGCAGAUAUAUCAUAUGAAGUUGAGUUUAUUGGAUUUGAUGAAACCAAAGAAAUAAGUUGCUCACUUGCUUUCAAAUGUCUUCCCAAGUAGUUACCAAUUGAAGUUUCAGAAUCUCUUUUCCAGGGAUUUGCUUCGGUAAUAUAGUAACAUGCAUAUUUGUGGGUUUUUCCUUUCAUAGGGGAAAGCUCGUAGUGACAUGACUGUGGAGGAAAGGAUUGGAGCAGCAGAUAGAAGAAAGAUGGAUGGAAAUGCUUUAUUUAAAGAGGAAAAACUAGAGGAGGCCAUGCAAUGGCUAUAGCGUAUAUGGGUGACAACUUCAUGUUCCAAUUGUUUGGGAACUACAGGGACAUGGCUUUGGCUGUUAAAAAUCCAUGCCACCUUAACAUGGCAGCGUCUUUUAUAAAGCGCAAGCGUUAUGAAGAAGCCAUUGGACAAUGCAGUAUUGUAAGUGUAAUGCUAUCACAAGAAAGUCAUCUAAUUUUGUGUGUUCAGCGAUUGUGCUAUUCAUCAUUAGACACUAGAAAGUUGGGUUUGUUGGUUUAUUUGUGAGCAUAACUGCAUCCCAAAAGUUUCAAUAUUCAUUCACUUUAACCUGCCAUUUUGGAUUGCCGUAGAAAAUGAAAA